rnacentral:tRNA from 1 species
GGUUCUAUAGUAUAAAAAUACGUUAAAUUGCAAAUUUAAAGAUGUGUAAAGCACUAGGACUU